GAUGAACGCUGGCGGCGUGCCUAAUACAUGCAAGUCGAGCGAACAGAUAAGGAGCUUGCUCCUUUGACGUUAGCGGCGGACGGGUGAGUAACACGUGGGUAACCUACCUAUAAGACUGGGAUAACUUCGGGAAACCGGAGCUAAUACCGGAUAACAUUUGGAACCGCAUGGUUCUAAAGUGAAAGAUGGUUUUGCUAUCACUUAUAGAUGGACCCGCGCCGUAUUAGCUAGUUGGUAAGGUAACGGCUUACCAAGGCAACGAUACGUAGCCGACCUGAGAGGGUGAUCGGCCACACUGGAACUGAGACACGGUCCAGACUCCUACGGGAGGCAGCAGUAGGGAAUCUUCCGCAAUGGGCGAAAGCCUGACGGAGCAACGCCGCGUGAGUGAUGAAGGGUUUCGGCUCGUAAAACUCUGUUAUUAGGGAAGAACAAACGUGUAAGUAACUGUGCACGUCUUGACGGUACCUAAUCAGAAAGCCACGGCUAACUACGCG
rnacentral:rRNA from 1 species